CCGGUCUGUGAUGACGACUGUCCACUUUAUUUCGAGUCUCCCGACCUUGAGAUCACAUCUCCAUGCACUACCAUCUGAGACCGU
rfam:Ornithorhynchus anatinus Cont14108.8, whole genome shotgun sequence.